rnacentral:rRNA from 1 species
GACGAGCGCUGGCGGCGUGCUUAACACAUGCAAGUCGAACGGAAAGGCCCUGCUUUUGUGGGGUGCUCGAGUGGCGAACGGGUGAGUAACACGUGAGUAACCUGCCCUUGACUUUGGGAUAACUUCAGGAAACUGGGGCUAAUACCGGAUAGGAGCUCCUGCUGCAUGGUGGGGGUUGGAAAGUUUCGGCGGUUGGGGAUGGACUCGCGGCUUAUCAGCUUGUUGGUGGGGUAGUGGCUUACCAAGGCUUUGACGGGUAGCCGGCCUGAGAGGGUGACCGGCCACAUUGGGACUGAGAUACGGCCCAGACUCCUACGGGAGGCAGCAGUGGGGAAUAUUGCACAAUGGGCGGAAGCCUGAUGCAGCAACGCCGCGUGCGGGAUGACGGCCUUCGGGUUGUAAACCGCUUUCGCCUGUGACGAAGCGUGAGUGACGGUAAUGGGUAAAGAAGCACCGGCUAACUACGCG